rnacentral:lncRNA from 10 species
CUGGCAAGGCAAUUCCAAGAAGCUGAGAGGCAGAAUGUCAUCACAUGCGUUCUUUGUGCAGAUUUGCCAGGAGAAGCAUAAGAAGCACCCAGAUACUCCAGUCACCUUCUCAGAGUUUUCUAAGAAGGGCUUCAGAGAAAUGGCAGGCCACGUCUGCUAAAGGGAAGGGAAAAGUUGAAGACAUGGCAAAGGCAGAUUAAGUUUCAUCAUGAAAGAAAUGAAAACCUACACCCCUCCUAAAGGGGAAACAAAGAAGUUCGAGGAUCCCAAUGCAUCUCACAAGAGGCCUCCUUUGGCCUUUUUCUUGUUCUGUUCUUAAUAUUGCCUUGAAAUCAAAGGAGAACAUUCAGCCUAUCCAUUGGUGAUGCUGCAAAGAAACUGGGAGAGACGUGGAGCAACACCACUGCAGAUGACAAACAGCCUUUUGACAAGAAGUAUGCAAAGCCAAAGAAAAAAUGUAAAAAGGAUAUUGCUGCAUACCAACCUAAAGGAAAGCCUGAUACAGCAAAAAUGAGAACCAUCAAGGCUGAAAAAAGCAAGAAAAAGGAGGAGGAUGAGGAAGAUCAAGAAGACAAUG